UAAGCUUGCUCUUUCGCUGACGAGUGGCGCACGGGUGCGUAACGCGUAUACAACCUACCUUCAAGCGGGGGAUAGCCCAUGGAAACGUGGAUUAAUACCUCAUGGUAUAUAGACUUCACCUGGAGACUAUAUUAAACAUUUAUGGCUUGAAGAUGGGUAUGCGUCCUAUUAGCUAGAUGGAGUGGUAACGGCACCCCAUGGCAACGAUAGGUAGGGGUCCUGAGAGGGAGAUCCCCCACACUGGUACUGAGACACGGACCAGACUCCUACGGGAGGCAGCAGUGAGGAAUAUUGGACAAUGGAGGCAACUCUGAUCCAGCCAUGCCGCGUGCAGGAAGACUGCCCUAUGGGUUGUAAACUGCUUUUAUACAGGAAGAAACCUCUCCACGUGUGGGGAGCUGACGGUACUGUAUGAAUAAGGAUCGGCUAACUCCGUGCCAGCAGCCGCGGUAAUACGGAGGAUCCAAGCGUUAUCCGGAAUCAUUGGGUUUAAAGGGUCCGUAGGCGGGUCUAUAAGUCAGUGGUGAAAGUCUGUCGCUCAACGAUAGAAUUGCCAUUGAUACUGUAGAUCUUGAAUUAUUAUGAAGUGGUUGGAAUGAGUAGUGUAGCGGUGAAAUGCAUAGAUAUUACUCACAAC
rnacentral:rRNA from 1 species